AUAGUUGGGCGAAUGAAUGUUCAUUGGCUACAGCUUCUUAGAGGGACGUGCGUUCUAUUAGACGCAGGAAGAUAGGGGCAAUAACAGGUCUGUGAUGCCCUUAGAUGUCCUGGGCCGCACGCGCGUUACACUGAUGCACUCAACGAGUCUACCUUGGCCGAGAGGCCUGGGAAAUCUUGUUAACAUGCAUCGUGAUAGGGAUAGAUUAUUGCAAUUAUUAAUCUUGAACGAGGAAUUCCUAGUAAACGCAGAUCAUCAAUCUGCAUUGAUUACGUCCCUGCCCUUUGUACACACCGCCCGUCGCACCUACCGAUUGAAUGGUCCGGUGAAGCCUCGGGAUUGCGAUGAGUUUCCUUCAUUGGGAGUUCGUCGCGAGAACCUGUCUAAACCUUAUCAUUUAGAGGAAGGUGAAGUCGUAACAAGGUUUCC
rnacentral:rRNA from 1 species